UACAGAGGUCUCAACCGUUGUUCGGAUUCAUUGGGCGUAAAGGGUGCGUAGGCGGUCGUGCAAGUCGGAUGUGAAAUCUCAGGGCUCAACCCUGAAACUGCAUUCGAUACUGCGUGGCUAGAGUGCUGGAGAGGAGACUGGAAUUUACGGUGUAGCGGUGAAAUGCGUAGAUAUCGUAAGGAAGACCAGUGGCGAAGGCGAGUCUCUGGACAGCAACUGACGCUGAGGCACGAAGGCCAGGGGAGCAAACGGG
rnacentral:rRNA from 1 species